AUUGAACGCUGGCGGCAGGCUUAACACAUGCAAGUCGAACGAGCGGCGGACGGGUGAGUAAUGUAUGGGGAUCUGCCCGAUAGAGGGGGAUAACUACUGGAAACGGUGGCUAAUACCGCAUACCAUCAGAUGAACCCAUAUGGGAUUAGCUUGUAGGUGAGGUAACGGCUCACCUAGGCGACGAUCCCUAGCUGGUCUGAGAGGAUGAUCAGCCACACUGGGACUGAGACACGGCCCAGACUCCUACGGGAGGCAGCAGUGGGGAAUAUUGCACAAUGGGCGCAAGCCUGAUGCAGCCAUGCCGCGUGAAUGAAGAAGGCCUUCGGGUUGUAAAGUUCUUUCGGUAGCGAGGCGUUAACUACAGAAGAAGCACCGGCUAACUCCGUGCCAGCAGCCGCGGUAAUUC
rnacentral:rRNA from 1 species